CCGGUUUAGCUUAGUGGUAGAGCGUCAGUCUUGUAAACUGAAGGUCGGCGGUUCGAUCCCGCCAUCCGGCUUGA
rnacentral:tRNA from 1 species